CCUACGGGAGGCAGCAGUGGGGAAUAUUGGACAAUGGGCGGAAGCCUGAUCCAGCAACGCCGCGUGAGGGAUGACGGCCUUCGGGUUGUAAACCUCUUUCAGUACCGACGAAGCGCAAGUGACGGUAGGUACAGAAGAAGCACCGGCCAACUACGUGCCAGCAGCCGCGGUAAUACGUAGGGUGCGAGCGUUGUCCGGAAUUAUUGGGCGUAAAGGGCUCGUAGGCGGUUUGUCGCGUCGGGAGUGAAAACGCCGUGCUUAACACGGCGCUUGCUUCCGAUACGGGCAGACUAGAGGUAUUCAGGGGAGAACGGAAUUCCUGGUGUAGCGGUGAAAUGCGCAGAUAUCAGGAGGAACACCGGUGGCGAAGGCGGUUCUCUGGGAAUGACCUGACGCUGAGGAGCGAAAGUGUGGGGAGCGAACAGGAUUAGAUACCCCGGUAGUC
rnacentral:rRNA from 1 species